UACAGAGGUCCCGAGCGUUGUUCGGAUUCAUUGGGCGUAAAGGGUGCGUAGGCGGCGUGGUAAGUCUGAUGUGAAAUCCUGGGGCUCAACCCCAGAACUGCAUUGGAUACUGCCAUGCUAGAGUACUGGAGAGGAAACUGGAAUUUACGGUGUAGCGGUGAAAUGCGCAGAUAUCGGGAGGAACACCAAUUGCGAAGGCAGCUCGCUGGGACGUCACUGACGCUGAGACGCGAAAGCGUGGGGAGCAAACAGG
rnacentral:rRNA from 1 species